AUGCUGAGGCAGGAGAAUGGCGUGAACCCGGGAGGCGGAGCUUGCAGUGAGCUGAGGCAGGAGAAUCGCUUGAACCCGGGAGGCAGAGGUUGUGGUGAGCCAAAAUCCCACCGUUGCACUCCAGCCUGGGCAACAAGAGUGAAACUCCAUCCCCUCAACAAAAAAAGGAAAAGCACAAGGCCAGGCACGGUGGCUCAUGCCUGUAAUCCCAGCACUUUGGGAGGCCAAGGCAGGCUGAUCACAUGAGGUCAAGCGUUCAAGACCAACCUGGCCAACAUAGUGAAACCCCAUCUCUACUAAAAAUACAAAGAUUAGCUGGACAUCGUGGUGCACGCCUGUAAUCCCAGCUACUCGGUAGGCUGAGGCAGAAGAAUCGCUUGAACCCAGGAGGUGAAGGUUGUAGUGAGCCAAGAUCAUGCCACUGCACUCCAGCCUGGGCAACAGGAGUGAAACUCUCAAAAAAAACAGAAAGGCCAGGUGCGGUAGAUCAUGCUUGUAAUCCUAGCACUUUGGGAGUCCGAGGCAGGCGGAUCACGAGGUCAGGAGAUCAAGACUAUCCUGGCUAACGCGGUAAAACCCUGUCUCUACUAAAAAUACAAAAAAUUAGCCAGGCAUGGUGGCGGGCGGCUGUAGUCCCAGCUACUCGGGAGGCUGAGGCAGGAGAAUGGUGUGAACCCAGGAGGCGGAGUGUGCAGUGAGCCAAGAUCACGCCACUGCACUCUAGCCUGGGCAACAGAGCGAGAAUCUGUCUCGGAAAAAAAAAAAAAAAAAAGAAAGAAAGAAAGAAAAAAGAAACCCUGUCUCUACUAAAAAUACAAAAAUUAGCCCAGUGUGUUGGUGCGCGCCUGUUAUCCCAGCUACUCGGGAGACAGAAGCAGGAGAAUCACUUGAACCCAGGACACAGAGGUUGCAGUGAGCCAAGAUCACACCACUGCACUCCAGCCUGGGUGGCAAAGCAAGGCCCUGUCCCAAAAAACAAGAAAAAUUAAGGCCACCAAAGCAAAACAUGCCGACGCUGAGUCCAUGCUCAGGCCAAAAUGCAGAGUAGCAGAGAAACACAACUGUGGUUCCUGAGGCAGAGUCAGCGGGUUUCAAGGCU
rnacentral:lncRNA from 1 species